UACGGGGGGAGCAAGCGUUGUUCGGAUUUACUGGGCGUAAAGGGCGCGUAGGCGGUCGUGACAAGUCACUUGUGAAAUCUCCGGGCUUAACUCGGAAAGGUCAAGUGAUACUGUCGGACUAGAGUACAGAAGGGGCAACUGGAAUUCUCGGUGUAGCGGUGAAAUGCGUAGAUAUCGAGAGGAACACCUGCGGCGAAGGCGGGUUGCUGGGCUGACACUGACGCUGACAGCGCGAAAGCUAGGGGAGCGAACGGG
rnacentral:rRNA from 1 species